AUUCUUAGCUGGCAGGGGAGAUGGCCGUGAUCACGAAGGUGGUUUUCCCAGGGCGAGGCUUAUCCACCGCACUCCAGAUGUGCUGACCCCUGCGAUGUCCCCAAAUGUGGGAAACUCGACUCCACAAUUUGUGGUAGAGGUAACUGCAUUCAUGCUCUCCCCUG